rnacentral:rRNA from 1 species
AGCGAACGCUGGCGGCAGGCCUAACACAUGCAAGUCGAACGAAGUCUUCGGACUUAGUGGCGGACGGGUGAGUAACACGUGGGAACGUACCUUUUGGUUCGGAACAACUCAGGGAAACUUGAGCUAAUACCGAAUGAGCCCUUCGGGGGAAAGAUUUAUCGCCGAAAGAUCGGCCCGCGUUGGAUUAGGUAGUUGGUGGGGUAAAGGCGCACCAAGCCUACGAUCCAUAGCUGGUCUGAGAGGAUGAUCAGCCACACUGGGACUGAGACACGGCCCAGACUCCUACGGGAGGCAGCAGUGGGGAAUCUUGCGCAAUGGGCGAAAGCCUGACGCAGCCAUGCCGCGUGAAUGAUGAAGGUCUUAGGAUUGUAAAAUUCUUUUACCAGGGACGAUAAUGACGGUACCUGGAGAAAAAGCCCCGGCUAACUUCGUGCCAGCAGCCGCCGUAAAAC